ACUGUAGCUGGAGUUUAGCUUGCACUAAUCCACCCCAUAACCCUCCCCACCUUCCCUCCCUCUCUCGCUUUCCUUUAGCAAGUCGUUAAAGGCAUCCGCAUGCUUCAGGUCUGCUGGCGCUGAGCACGGCUAGGCGAACCGAACGAUUGUGCUCGCAUACUCCCUUAAAAAACCUUCACUUGAAAAACGAGAAAAAAUUGUCAAUAGUACUGUUUGUCCAUUUUGAGACCCCGUAGCCAGUGUACACUUCAUCAAAAUAGUCUGAAUUCAUCUAUGACGACUCAAGAAAUCUGUCAUUCAUUUUGACAUUUUUGUCAAGGAGAUCUUUAUCUCGCAAUUUUGCACCUGACUAGGAUGUUUGGUGCAGUAUUUCUCAAGUGAAAGAAUGUGCAUGGGGGGACGGGUCAUCUCUCGUUAAAUGACAACAGACACUUUAUUGAAGAAUCCCUACAAUUGACCAAUCACCAACGAGGGGACGUAGACUUCGGCUUGCCUCGGGAGAGAGAGAGAGAAAAAAUUGUGUUCCCGAACAGCCCAAGUUUCUUUCCCAAAGUCCAACGCGAACAAAAUGUCACAAAAAAUGUUGUCAUAAUAUAUGCACAAACUGUUUGGAACUGUUUGGGCUGGGAAGCAUGCGGACGCCUUAAGGCACUGUUCCAAACCCGACGUCAUGGCACGCUGUGUUAGGACUGUUUGGUGGUUCUUUUUGUUCUUUCCUUUUUUCUCAUUUUCUUUCCUAAUGUUUAGUUCUGCAGUACAGUGUACCUGGCCAUACAGCAAACUAGAGGUUUAUUAACAGCAGCAGGAGAGCAGACUGAAGAGCCAAGACUGAGCCGCCAGGAUGUUAUGAAGGGAAGGGGAUGCACAGGAGCAGCACCUGCAGAUGUUGUGUGUCCCUGCAUUUACUGUAACCACCUGCGUUCCUUCAACUGUGUGUCCAUGUUGAUAAAGAAGCCUUGGCUCCUACCGGUGACGACAGACCAACCUGAACCUUCCUCACCCAACCAACCCCCCCUCCCACACCGUCCUCCUCCCCCUCCCUCCCGUGUUGCCCGGGGUGCUGCUUUGCUGUGUGUUGCCAUGGAGACAGCCUGCCACAUGGGUGUUGUGUCGCUGUGUGUC